GGCAGGCAAGAACACAGAAAUACAGCUGAAGCUGCUGGGAGCUUGAAGCAUGGAAAUACUUGAAAUUCACCUCUGAUGUCAGAGUGAAGCCAUUUCACAGGAGUCACAUUGUGCACUGACAGAACACUCCCAGGCCUAUGAAAUUAAACAUUUACUGGCAAUUCUUUUACUGUGGUUUAAUUUUUCAAAUCUGACAUGCUGACAGCAUGUGGCAGAGUAACCAAUGGUAGCAGGAAAGCAUAUGGUUAUGUUUUUUAAGUUUGUGUUUUCCUGUGAGCAUGAGAUACACAAGAACACAAAUUUAAUUAAGAUUUCCCCGAGUUUUUUGACAAAUUCAGCUGAACUGCACCAACCACACCAAUGCAGCAUGGGCUGGCAAGAGGUGCUCUGCAGGCAGGACAUGCCCAAGGGGCAAAGCCAUAUCAAGAACACAAGAAAUAAACCCUUACAUUUCCUGGGUGACUUGCUAGGAAAAACUUGAUUUGUUCCAUUUUCAUGAAAAUAACCACUGAGGCAUGAAGUUGUCACAGUUUUUGUGAAACAGAAGGAAGGCUGACCCACCUGAGGAGCUCAGUUAGAGCUGCUGCUCACUCCCCCUGCCUGCAUGAGUGGUGUGCUGGCAUUGAUAAAAACUCAGUGCUCAGAGAACAGAGACAAUGAGCCCCACUACUGAGCCUGCAGACAGCAUUUCUGUCAGUGCUGCUCAAUGCUGAGCCUAUCUAGUUUUGAAGAAAGUCUCAUAUUUUUGGUAAGGUAAAAAAAAAAAAAGCCCAACGUCUGUCUGUGUUCUCACAGAUUUAGGAGAUUUAAAUUCAGGCUCUCUGUGAAAUCUCAUAGAAGAAAAACUUCCCACAGCUCAUCUAGAACUUAAAAGAGGUAUUUGCUCAUUCCAUUGAUGUUUUACACUCUCCAUGUGAGACAAUUCCCUCCACUGAUAUCCCCCAGCAGUGAAUUGUUGUAUCACAGAAGCCUGCGUGGGGAGAUGGAGAAUAACUGGGGAAAAUCUUACGUCCUAUGGAAAACCUUUGAAAGCAAGUGGCAGCAUUGCAGCUGCUGCAAGGGUUGUGUGGCAUAUCACAGCCACUUGCAGUCCGAAGGCAGCGCUGGCAUCUCCGUGCCCCAGCUGGACAGAGGCAAGGAGUUUAUGUCCCUCCUGAAGUAA
rnacentral:lncRNA from 1 species